UUUUCGUUUCAGUUUGCACACUGUGGAAAAUUGGAAAGCAGUACUUAAAGUAACAUUGGUGACUAGUUUUUAUGAUAUCGGUUGAAUUCUGCCUUUUAUCAAUCAGUUUUAGUGAGGUAUUGCUUUUUCAAGUAAAAGAGAAGUGAACACACCCACAUAUGUGUAGAAGAACAUAUACAAUAGAACAGUCAUGUUGAUUUGAAAAGAACUUGGCUCAUAGAAGUAAAUGAACUGAUUGUUCGAGCUCAAUAGACAUAACUCCGAUUACUUCAUUGAUAGUUCAUGUUAAUUGAAUCACGUGCACAAAGUGCUUUGACAUGUCCCGGUGCAGUACAUUAAAAGAUCUGAGCAUUUAAUGUGUAUUAAAUAACACCGCGAACGACGGACGAAUCGCGAAUCACAACACGCAGAAGACGGAGCGGCAGGAACCAGCUGUUCGAAGAGCUGGCGAUGAUUACUGCGAUGCGAUCCCCUGCACUAGGUCUCCGCUUCGACGACGACCACGCGAUGCUUACUGGCUGAUGUACAUAGGCUGACUGCUUCAGACUCUACUGGGAGAGCCACACUGCGAACUGGCCAACGACGAUGACGACAUUGAGGGGGGCUCUAUACCAACACCUACCAACUACAUUCGAAUCAAUAGCACCAUACCCAUUAGCCAGGCAGGAGUAGCGAAGCAAAAAAAAAACUUAAACGAAAUCGAAAAACGUGUGUACUGCCUUGCUGUUCACCAACCGCACACAUAGCUCGACACAGAACGUCAGAGAAUGAACAGCCACUCGCGCAGUAACAUCAACCGUAUUAGAUGGAGGUUCUCAACCUUGUGCUCAGCGAAAGGUUAAUCAACGAAGUUGGAAAGAAUGUUAAAACCCUGACUAAUCCACCUAGUGGUGUAAGUGUUUUAGAAAGGGUGAUAAGGUAAAAACAUAGAAGAAAAAUAAAACUUAGCCCUGAUAGGCUGAUAGAUCCCGA